rnacentral:rRNA from 1 species
UACGUAGGUGGCAAGCGUUGUCCGGAUUUACUGGGCGUAAAGCGCUCGCAGGUGGCCCGAUGCGUCGUGCGUGAAAGACCCCGGCUCAACUGGGGGGUGUCGUGCGAUACGGUCGGGCUGGAGGCCAGUAGGGGGAUGCGGAAUUCCGGGUGUAGUGGUGGAAUGCGUAGAUAUCUGGAAGAACACCGGUGGCGCAAGCGGAUUGCUGGGCCAUAACUGACACUGAGGAACGAAAGCUAGGGGAGCGAAUGGG